UACAGCCGGUUCGUUUGAGGAGGAGGCAAUGGGCAAUCGAACUAUGCUCUGUCUAAAAACCUAGAUAUCGAUUUGGUUGAAGCGAACUCUGGUGCAGUUCGAAUGGAUUUGUGAACGACAAGCAAGCCAGAGACCGCUACAAAAGCAGGAAGCAGAUUAUAACACAUGGCAUUCUGGGUAAAUGCAGCCCAAGCAAACGCAAGAGUCGAACGCUAGCAGGAGAAAUGGCCUCUGGUCUUUUACCAACAACCAAAGUUAAAUUUUACAACCACUUAAAUCAGACGCUACCCCAUUUUUGUUUACGCUCUCUAAAGUUGCACAGAGAAUUUUAAGUGGGGGAAUUUAUUCAAAAUACUAAUAUUGAUACUUGUAUCACAUCGAUACUAGGGUGGCAGCUGCUGUAGUUUAACAUCCCCACUUGAAAUUUUAAAAUUUUGUAUUGUAGUUUCUCAACUGUACCUUAAAACAGAUUUUGUUUCAAUUUGCUCCCAAAU